GAUGAACGCUGGCGGCGUGCCUAAUACAUGCAAGUCGAGCGAACAGACGAGGAGCUUGCUCCUCUGACGUUAGCGGCGGACGGGUGAGUAACACGUGGAUAACCUACCUAUAAGACUGGGAUAACUUCGGGAAACCGGAGCUAAUACCGGAUAAUAUAUUGAACCGCAUGGUUCAAUAGUGAAAGUCGGUUUUGCUGUCACUUAUAGAUGGAUCCGCGCCGCGUUAGCUAGUUUGUAGGAUAACCGCUUAACAAGGCGACGAUGCAUAGCCGACCUGAGAGAGAGAUGGGACAGAGUGACAGUGAGACACGGUAGAGACUCCUAGGGGAGGAAACAGUAGGAAAUCGGCCGAGAUGGGGAAAAGCCAGACAGAGAAACGCCGCGUGAGAGAAGAAGGUAUGCGGAGGGAAAAACUCUGUUAUGAGGGAAAAAAAAAUGUGUAAGUAACUAAGCACGUCUAGACGGGACAAAAACAGAAGGCCGCGGAUAAAUACG
rnacentral:rRNA from 1 species